rnacentral:rRNA from 1 species
UACGUAGGGUGCAAGCGUUAAUCGGAAUUACUGGGCGUAAAGCGUGCGCAGGCGGUUCGCUAAGACAGAUGUGAAAUCCCCGGGCUUAACCUGGGAACUGCAUUUGUGACUGGCGGGCUAGAGUAUGGCAGAGGGGGGUAGAAUUCCACGUGUAGCAGUGAAAUGCGUAGAGAUGUGGAGGAAUACCGAUGGCGAAGGCAGCCCCCUGGGCCAAUACUGACGCUCAUGCACGAAAGCGUGGGGGAGCAAACAGG